rnacentral:lncRNA from 1 species
UCGUGUUAUGACUAGGGUUUGGAUCCAUGUGACCGCCAGAGAGAGAGGUGUUAAUGGCAGGGGUGAGUUCUAGUGAGAGAGAAAGAGAGAGAGAGAGAGAGAGAGAGAGAGAGAGAGGUGUUAAUGGCAGGGGUGAGUUCUAGUGUUUCUACUCUUUGGUUUGAAGGUUUUAUGAUUUGAGCACCCAGUGGCUUUGCUUUUUAUUAUGCGAUGGCGCGGUACCACCGGAUCAAUCGAAGACCGCUACCAAACAAAACUUCUGUCUCUGCGCAUAUGUGUGUGUGUGUGUGUGUGUGUGUGUGAGAGAGAGAGAGAGAGAGAGAGAGAGAGAGAGAGAGAGAGAGAGAGAGAGAUUAUGGUAGUGAAAGAGAAAUUAUUG